CCUACGGGUGGCUGCAGUGGGGAAUAUUGGACAAUGGGGGGAACCCUGAUCCAGCCAUGCCGCGUGUGUGAAGAAGGCCCUCGGGUUGUAAAGCACUUUCAGUGAGGAAGAACGCCUGGUGGUUAAUACCCAUCAGGAAAGACAUCACUCACAGAAGAAGCACCGGCUAACUCCGUGCCAGCAGCCACGGUAAUACGGAGGGUGCGAGCGUUAAUCGGAAUUACUGGGCGUAAAGCGCGCGUAGGUGGCUUGAUAAGCCGGUUGAGAAAGCCCCGGGCUCAACCUGGGAACGGCAUCCGGAACUGUCAAGCUAGAGUGCAGGAGAGGAAGGUAGAAUUCCCGGUGUAGCGGUGAAAUGCGUAGAGAUCGGGAGGAAUACCAGUGGCGAAGGCGGCCUUCUGGACUGACACUGACACUGAGGUGCGAAAGCGUGGGUAGCACACAGGAUUAGAUACCCUGGUAGUC
rnacentral:rRNA from 1 species